rnacentral:misc_RNA from 1 species
AAAAAUACGGGAUGAUCUCAACACUAUAUAAAGAGCCAUUAUAUACACAUUAAUCAGCAAACACAGCUUAUCUACUGGUGUUUGUUUCCCAUCUUUUCACAAUAGAUAAAACAUCAGAUUUAUUUACAAGGAAAGUACUUUUGGAACAGAACUAUCUCGGCCUACUUUCUGUUUUCAGAAAGCGGACAUAUUCCUGCUGUACCAUUUCUCCUCCAUUCACAGGAUCGAAGCUGCACCUAUAGAAACUUCCAUCAGUGCCAGCAGUUAUAAUGGUGUUCUGAGAACCAAAUGCAGCAAUGUACUGGGUACAUUCUGGCAAAUGAAAUUGAGCAAAUGACCAUUCAGAGCUAAAGUAUUUUGGCAGAACUCCUUUCAUGAAAGACAGUGAUGAACCAGGGUUGGCUCCAGUACUUGGAGAAAUAAGUGCAUCAAGAGAAGAUGAUGAAUUCUGACACAACAAUGUUGGAGUUCUAACAGCAGCAUCAGCUGAAGCAUCCUCUCCAACAACACGUACUCUAAGGCUGUAUACAUGGAUAGUACCUUUGUCGCUCGAGACGACCAACCACUGAACAUUUGGUGAUAGAGCAAUACUACAGAUAUCCGCUCUGUCAACCCCUCUACGCACCUCUUGCAACUGAGUCCCAUCAAUGGUGUUGAAGAGUCUUAUCAAAGUUCCCCGAGUGCUUGCUGUUGCAAGAAGCAGCCCAUCAAUUGUCAAGGUUAGGCAUGCUAUCUGGGAAUCAUGUGCCUUGAUUAAUUUUGUCAUAUUCAGGCCAAAAUGUUCAACCCGGACCUGUCCUCUUCGAAGGCCUGGGCAAGCCAAUACAGAUGUACUUAACUGGUGUGAGAGGCAGCAAAGUCCCCUAGGAUUGGCCACAGUCUCUAUCUGAUGAAGAAGCUUCAGAUCCAUAAAGUUGUAGACAUAUAUCUUGUGCUCAAGAACUACAACAAUACAAUCCCGUCUUAGUUUCACUGCACGAACCUCGGACCUAAAUGAAAAUUCGCCUAUGCACCGGCUUUGAUGAUCAUCCCAUAUAAUAACUUUAUUAGGUGGGUAUUGAGUGUUGGCCUUGGCACCCACAAGUGCUAAAAUAUUGCAUCGGAACAGCAUCUCCACUAUUCCAAAUCCACCACUUUUCAGAUCACGUCUGAAAGUCUCUUUGAAAGGAUCACAGUUAUACACACGAAAGCCACGACUUGUGCCAGCAGCAAAGCAACUGUAAUCCUGAUUCCAUGAUACAAAGUGUAGCUCUGUUUCAUCAUUAUCAGUGAUCGCCGGUUCAGAAUGGCCAGAAUGAGAGUCCCCAGGCAUGGGAGAUUCAUAUGUCCCAAAGGCUGCUGGAGAAAUUGUCCCUCCAGAAGGUGAAACAGUUGAACUAUUGAGGGAUGAUAGCGUAGUCAUAACCAAAUGCAGACAGAAGCUAUGGAAAUCUGGAAAUGCCUGAUCGAUUUGGACUUGACCACUGUGGUUGUCGCUGUCACUGUGGGCCGGUGUUCACGCGGCUCGCCGUUGCGGACAUCAAACAGAAGCGGUGGUCACGCCGACAUAGACGGCGGUCGAUCAGCCGCUGUCUCAGAGAUGGAUAUGAGAGAGAAAGGAAGAAAGUAGAGAAGAGGAGGAAGAGGUGAGAAAGGCGGCGGUCUCUUUAGUGGUUUGGAAGAAGAGAUAUAUUUUGUUUGUUCGGUGGUCCACCGGCCAUAGACAAACGGCGGCGGUGGAAGUCACAGACGGUCCUGGGCAGUGGAGGGGCUGAGAGAGGAGGGAAGAGUACGGCUCGGGUCUCGCCG